GUUUUGUUCGUUUUAUUGAUGUCAGUGUCAAAUGUGACCUGGACAAAUUAUGCCUGUCAGAUUCAUUAUUAUAGCUAUGUAUGUUAUGUAUUUGUUAUAUUUGCACAGCUGAAUGUGGAAAGCAUCCAACUGUCAAACUUUGCCUUCACUAAAACAUGUGACUAGAAAUGAUGUCUGGAAAAACCUGAAUGUAUUGCAAUUUUGACGUUAUGUCUGACAGUUUUUAAUUUUUAAAUCCUUUUAGAUUAUCCAAAUGUUGAAUGGCCUUUUUCAGUUUGACUCCUCAAGAGUUUGCUCCAGUUGAGUAUUUUCCUGAUAAUCAUGUUUAGCAUGAAAGCCAAUGAAAAGUAAGCCGAUAUAAGCUCUAAAUAUUGUACAAGCAACACCGAAUCUAGUGCACAGUAUAUUUAUGAAAGUGCAGCGCUAGUAUACAGUGUUUAAAACGAUCUUAUGAUGUUUUUCAUUAAGCACAUUAGUGCUGGGCUCAUAUUAAACAGCUGGACGUUAAAUCAAAUUAAUGCUGGAUUAUAUUGCACACGACUGUAAUGGAAUGUGUAAUGUUUGAUUUCUAGUUAUCAAUGCACACUGCACAUUCCCUUUAUUAUGUUUAAACACAGGCAGCUCUAGUACCAAGACGCUGGUAUCGCUGCUUGUCACAAUAUACACUAAAUCAGUUAUUAAUUGCAAUGUAUGUACAUGCAGAUAUGCUCAUAUUCAGUCCGUUCCCAUGAAACACGUUUCUUUUGCUGCAUAGGUUUUCAGUAACGUUACACCUGUAAGAAUUAGACAGGUGCAUCACACACUUUACACUGACACUAAGAGUUUCUAUUACAAGGGGUGCAUUUUAGUUGUGUAUCCACAUUGCUGUUUGUGGAAAGGUGCUUAUAUGAGUUUGAGAUUGGGGAUUGUUCAUAUUUUUUUAUGUUUAAGGUCGAAACAGCCAUGAUUGUAUGGUGGCCUUUUGAAUGAAUCUGGAAGCACAUGUCUUUUGAAAUACUCGAGUUGUGCAAAACACUCACUGGUGUAGAAUGUGUAUGUCAUAAUAAAUGAAACCUGUUUAAAAGGUGUCUUGUGUUGUAUUGCUUAAUACAGCAAAACAGAAUGAUUUGUGAAACAUUGCGUGUCACUGAAGACCGCACUAAUUGAAAUGAUUUUUUUUUUAAAUUAUAUAUAUUCAAAUAGAAAAUGGUUAUUUUAAUUUUUUAAUACCGUAAUACUGUCUUUUCUGCAAAGAAAAUAAAUAAAC
ensembl:lncRNA